rfam:Haloplasma contractile SSD-17B Contig4, whole genome shotgun sequence.
AAUAAUUGAAUAGUAACGCCGUAGACAGUAGGUGUCAAAAGACUUAAUUUCCUACCUAGGUUUGUAUAUAUAGUUUUGAAACUAAUAUACCCUUAUGUCUACUGGCAUGAGGGUAUUUUUAUAUUAUA